AUUAGGAAUGCUAGCGGUAUAGUGACCGUCAUAUGAAAAGUAAAAGAUCUCAACCAUUUAUAAUCGUUGUCCUACAAAACCGCUAUCAAUACCAUCGCUCCACUGUCUUUUUUUCUCUUCUUCUAUCUUUCCCCUUCCUCUCCGUCUUCGACUCCGACUUUGCCUCCCUUCCAUUUCUCUGGCCUGAAAAAUUAGGUAACACGGUCGCCGGAGCAGUACUUUCCAAAACCGUCUGCUUUCCGGCAGCAAAUCCGGAACCCUUGGAAAAUCUCCCAAACGAUUGCUUAUUUAUUGGACCGUUUUCCUUCUCCUAAAACCCGAUAUGGAAAGAUGGACUGAAUCAGAUGAGUGCAACUCUUCUGCAUGUUGGACCAAACUAUGCUUCAAAUAACAUAGCUGACCAAGUUGGGAAGAUAAGUUAAAUGCUCAUUGUAUUGUUUGAAUAUGUCUGAUCUCAACUAUGUCUUCAUAUAAUCCUGGACUUUGCUUAUGUAGCUUUGAUUCAGUUAAAACAUGCCCCCAUGAAACCAUUUCUGAAGUCUAACAAAGAUGGGUGAUUCAAACCGUUUUGAGUUCCAUGGAAAUCAUUUGCUUUACAAAUAAGCGACCUUUUGGAUCUUCGUUGCUCAAGUUCUUAUGCUCUUUUGUUUUAAAAUUUGAGUAUUUUACAAGCCUUAUGCCUUGCUUCUGUUCCUAUGCUGAGCCCCGCCUUCAAACUCAGCCAACAACUAUGGUUCUUUUUGAGUUGCAGAGGCAGAUCGAGAUUGAAUACGGUGGAUGUAGUCGCCGACAAUGGCCAUUUCGGUCUUGUGGGCUCCGGGUUGGCUGGGCUAAUUGUAUUGGCCGAGCAUCUCGUCUGAAACAGGGUCUUCUCUUACUCUGAGCAUGCGGAGGAAGAAACCGCCAGCGCCGGUGUUGGUGGCGAUGGAAGUGGUGGAUUUGAUUUUGUGGAUUGUGUGGUGUGCUUGUGUAGGUUCACGAAUGGGGAGCAGGUGAGGAAUGAAGGGCAACGAUUCAAU